UACCCGGUGUUAUUAUUUUUUUUUUUAAUCAUAAAUGUUUUAAUACUUGUAGAUGUUACUGCCUUUCAAGGUGAAUUCUUCUUUUUAUUCAUUCAAGUGCAUAAAAUGCAUGCAAGUGAACCAUCUAUGUAAGGUUUAUGCUGCGUCUCAAGGUUUAUGCUGCACUUGUUUUUAUUUUUGAAUUUUGAAACAGUCGGUUGCUUGUAAAAGUUGGUUACUUUUGCUUGAUUGAUAUUUUUGUCCAAUAAUGUUUUCUCCAUG
rnacentral:lncRNA from 1 species